GAUGAACGCUGGCGGCGUGCCUAAUACAUGCAAGUCGAACGGGGAGUAGCAAUACUCUUAGUGGCGAACGGGUGAGUAACGCGUUGGUACCUGCCCCGAAGCGGGGGAUAACGGACCGAAAGGUCCGCUAAUACCCCAUGUGCUCGGUAACGAGUAAAGGUGAAAACCACUUUGGGAGGGGCAUGCGUCCCAUCAGCUAGUUGGUAAGGUAACGGCCUACCAAGGCGGUGACGGGUAGGGGACCUGAGAGGGUGGCCCCCCACAAUGGAACUGAAACACGGUCCAUACACCUACGGGUGGCAGCAGUAGGGAAUAUUGGUAAUGGGCGCAAGGCUGGACCAGCAACGCCGCGUGUGCGAUGGCGGCCUUCGGGUUGUAAAGCACUUUUGACUGGGACGAGGAAGGACGGUACCGGUCGAAUCAGCCUCGGCUAACUACGUG
rnacentral:rRNA from 1 species